rnacentral:misc_RNA from 1 species
GAUGAAGAACGUAGCGAAAUGCGAUAAGUAGUGUGAAUUGCAGAAUUCAGUGAAUCAUCGAAUCUUUGAACGCACAUUGCGGCCAUAGGUAUUCCUUUGGCCAUGCCUGUUCGAGCGUCAUUUACACCCUCAAGCCUAGCUUGGUGUUGGGCGGCUGUCCCGCCGUUCUCGCGCGCGGACUCGCCUCAAAGUCAUUGGCGGCGGUCGUGCCGGCCCCCUCGCGCAGCACAUUUGCGCUUCUCGGAGGCCCGGCGGAUCCGCGCUCCAGCAAGACCUUUCACGACUUGACCUCGGAUCAGGUAGGGAUACCCGCUGAACUUAAGCAUAUCAAUAAGCGGAGGA